CCUGUUGCCAAACAAGGUCACAUUCAUACAUAACAGGGAAUAGGACUUCAAUAUGUCAUUCUGAAGAACACAGUUCAACCCAUACCAGCAGCAUUGUUUAAAAUUACAUUUUUUGUGGUAUUCAGAAAUGCAAGUGACUUCUGCAUAUCGAUUUCAAAUGCAGGAAGCUUGCUCAAUUCCCUUUAAAUUCUAAUGAUCAAUAGAUGCUAAAUAAAACAUGUUAUCACCUACAAAUAAUUAUUUUUUCCCUCUUUUUCAAGUUUUAAAACUUUCCUGUUCCUUGACUUACUGUAUUGUUUAAGAAUUGUAUUUUAAAAAGAAAAAUAAUAAGCGUCUUUAACUUGUCCUUGAUCAUUAGGAAAAUGGUUCCAACCAUUAAGUACACUACUUGCUAUAAGUUUUUCUUUGUUUAGAUAUUAAUCUGAGGAAUUAUUAUUUAUCUAAUUAAUUAGUAUUAUUUAUCUAAUUAAUUAGUAUUUUAUCUAAUUAUUAAGAAGGGUUUUUUAAAUUCCUAGUUCAUUAAAAGAACCAUUUUUGGAAAAUCAUAAGUAGGUAUUAUAUUUUAUGAAGCACGUUUUAAAAUAUGUUGAAAUAAACAUAGUUUUCUCCUUUAAUCAGUUAAUACAGUAAAUUAUAAUCAUUUUUUAAUAAUAAUGAAACAGGAAAAGCUCCCUUAUCCCCCUCGCAGGACGUGAGAUGGGGGUGUGGCUCACUUCUGCAGUGCUAUCCUGCUCAAAUCUCUAGGGGAGCUUACAGACCGGCAGGCUGUGGGGCUCCGACCCCACAGCAGUGUCUAGGGGUGAAUGUUUACAGCCGAAGCCCCAGUGGGUGUGUGUUACAGUGUGCUCUUUUAGUUUAGCCUUAGUCAGCUUAAGUAGACCCCUGCCUUAUGGCAAGGACAGAGGGCUUUCUGUAUCCUGGGGUUCUUACCUUGGUGUACUGGAAGAAUCGGAUCACACGUGGUCUUGGAGAAUGAGUUCAAAGUUUUAUUGACUGGAAGUAGCUCUCAGCAUACGGGGGAGCCAGAAGGGAGAUGGUUUUUUCCUUGGAGUCAGGCUGCUCCCUGGCCCGGGCUCUCCUCUGACUGUCCCAGCCAAACUCAGCCUCUCCUUCUGCUGGUCCGUGGCCUGCCCGCAUCCCAGGGCCUGCUGAUGUGCUUCUCUUAACAUCCAGCCACCUGUGUGUUCCUCCACCAAUUCGCUCCUCUCCACGUCCAGAUGUCUGGGUUUGCAGAUAGGCUCCUCUGCAGGUCCAGCAGCUUGUGUGCCUGCCUGCUAAGGUCUGAGGGCAGUUUAUAGGCACAGGAUGGGGGUGUGGCAGGCCGGGGUGAUAUUGGGCAAUGCAAUAUUUGGACAGGAAAUGCCUAUCCUCACCCAGGUCCGUGGGGGUGGAGCCCUAGCCAGGGACCACGCCCUCUUCUACCCAGCACUUCCCUUCCACACUUCGGUAUCAUUUGAGGGGACCACGCUCUUCACUCCCCUGCACUCCGUAUCAAUAAUUCCUGCUUCUGGCCAGGCGCGGUGGCUCACGCCUGUAAUCCCAGCACUUUGGGAGGCUGAGGUGGGCGGAUCACAAGGCAUGGCCCAUGUCCCUGGGAACAGUAGAGACUGAGGCCUGGGUCUCAGUGGCAUCAAUUAGAGCCUUUCCCUGGGACUGAUGUACGAGUGUCUCUUUCUGUUGGCAUCUUUAAAUGAGAAGAUAAAAAUCCAGGUUAUCAUUAGCCACAUUCACUGGUCAAGAAAAAGGCCUCUGCAGAACACAGCUGAGCAGAACCACACAGAAGUGGAAGAAGCAAAGAGGUUUCCAGAAGACUAGGAUGGUCGGCAGAGAGUAUCCGAAUUAUUGCUCCAUGCUGCGAGAUCCCUGUUCCUAGGAAAGCCGAGGUCUGCCUUCCAAUGUGCAAUUCUAGCUUAAUAGGGAAGUUAUAUCACUGUUGACAGUCUUGUCCUUUCUUAAUAAAUCUUAGGAGUUAUCCCAUAAGGAAUAUUCAUUUUCCUUCAGACAUGAAGUGACCAUUAAGAUGCGCCAGUAAAGAAUCCAUGGCUUUCAGUGUCUGGCCCUAUUUCUUCUAGUUCAAGAAUUUUAAGAAAAAAUAUUGCAAUAAAAGGUAUAUUUUUAUUAGCUACAAA
rnacentral:lncRNA from 10 species